GACGAACGCUGGCGGCGUGCUUAACACAUGCAAGUCGAACGGGAGUAUUGAAGAAGCUUGCUUUAGAGAUACUUUAGUGGCGGACGGGCGAGUAACGCGUGAGGAGCUGUCCUAUGCAGGGGGACAACAGUUGGAAACGACUGCUAAUACCCCGUAAGCCGAGAGGUAAAAGGAAUUAUCCGGCAGAGGAGGUACUCGCGUCCUAUCAGCUAGUAGGUGAGGUAACGGCUCACCUAGGCGAAGACGGGUAGCCGGCCUGAGAGGGCGAACGGCCACACUGGAACUGAGAUACGGUCCAGACUCCUACGGGAGGCAGCAGUGGGGAAUAUUGGGCAAUGGGGGCAACCCUGACCCAGCGACGCCGCGUGGGUGAAGAGAUCCCUCGGGAUGUAAAGCCCCGUUGUAUGGGAAGAGCAGAAGACGGUACCAUACGAGGAAGCCCCGGCAAACUACGUGCCAGCCGCCGCGGUAAAAC
rnacentral:rRNA from 1 species